rnacentral:misc_RNA from 1 species
GUCACAAAACGGGCAAAAGUAGAUCUAAACAGAGUAAAACACAUGCAGUUAGAAAAAGCUCCGGUGCUUGAGUGCACCUCAAAUGAACAACGAAGUGAUGAACCAGAGAUAAUAAUAUCUAAGUAGUUUCAAAAGAGCAUAAGGAGCUUUCUUAGAUUUCUUCAAGGUAGAAAACGUAAUCACUAAAGAUGUAAUGGUGAACAAUAAAAUAAAUUUUGAUCAUAAAUUUCUAGUUAUUAAAAUCUGAAAAGAAAAUUCGAUUUGUACUAUAAACAGCAAAAAAAAAAAUUAAUUUCCUUCUCACUUUCCUUCUUUUAAUCAACAACCAAACGAAUGCUAAAGUUAAAAUUCACCUUAGUGGAACGAAAUAACACAAAAGAAAAUGGAAACCGAGCACUCCAAACUCUCUUCCUGGCCACAAAAAAAUAGUAAAUUUCAAUUUUUGAGCUAAACAAACACAAUAAUUUAGUUCAGCUUGUCAAACCUACAUCUAGCUUCCACCAGAAAACAGCAGCACAUCAAGAGAACUUCAUGCAAUUAAUAGCGAAAAGCUCAAACUUGUUGAUGCAACCACAAACAGAAACAAUUUGAACACAGAAAUGAAAACAUAAACCACCAGAUCUAAAACCAAAACUCUAAGAUCUAAACUUGUUCAUACCUUCAGAGAUUGCAGUCUGUA